GAUGAACGCUGGCGGCGUGCCUAAUACAUGCAAGUCGAGCGAACAGACGAGGAGCUUGCUCCUCUGACGUUAGCGGCGGACGGGUGAGUAACACGUGGAUAACCUACCUAUAAGACUGGGAUAACUUCGGGAAACCGGAGCUAAUACCGGAUAAUAUAUUGAACCGCAUGGUUCAAUAGUGAAAGACGGUUUUGCUGUCACUUAUAGAUGGAUCCGCGCCGCAUUAGCUAGUUGGUAAGGUAACGGCUUACCAAGGCAACGAUGCGUAGCCGACCUGAGAGGGUGAUCGGCCACACUGGAACUGAGACACGGUCCAGACUCCUACGGGGGGCAGCAGUAGGGAAUCUUCCGCAAUGGGCGAAAGCCUGACGGAGCAACGCCGCGUGAGUGAUGAAGGUCUUCGGAUCGUAAAACUCUGUUAUUAGGGAAGAACAAAUGUGUAAGUAACCAUGCACGUCUUGACGGUACCUAAUCAGAAAGCCACGGCUAACUACGUG
rnacentral:rRNA from 1 species